UAGGGAAUCUUCCGCAAUGGGCGAAAGCCUGACGGAGCAACGCCGCGUGAGUGAUGAAGGUCUUCGGAUCGUAAAACUCUGUUAUUAGGGAAGAACAAAUGUGUAAGUAACUAUGCACGUCUUGACGGUACCUAAUCAGAAAGCCACGGCUAACUACGUGCCCGCAGCCGCGGUAAUACGUAGGUGGCAAGCGUUAUCCGGAAUUAUUGGGCGUAAAGCGCGCGUAGGCGGUUUUUUAAGUCUGAUGUGAAAGCCCACGGCUCAACCGUGGAGGGUCAUUGGAAACUGGAAAACUGGAGUGCAGAAGAGGAGAGUGGAAUUCCGGGUGUAGCGGUGAAAUGCGCAGAGAUGUGGAGGAACACCAGUGGCGAAGGCGACUUUCUGGUCUGUAACUGACGCUGAUGUGCGAAAGCGUGGGGAUCAAACAGG
rnacentral:rRNA from 1 species